CACUUAUAGAUUGUAAGGCUAUGCUGCAAUCCGCACUGAUGUCCCUUGGCCACUCGUCGAUAUUCCUCUUAUUCCUAUCGGUAGGUCCCCAGUUAGCAUAGAAAUCCUAAACAAAUCCCAAUUUGUCAACUUCCAAUACGUCUUUAAAUUGUUGGCAGAUAUCCUCUAUCUAUACAGUCAGAUUAACACAACCAUGCAUGCAUUCAGCAUACUCAACCUUCUUAACAACUCUGAAUUUCAACCACAGAAGUAUCUCCCAUUCUAUCAACAAUCAAGAAUACCAACCUUUCCUCUCUUACAAAAAAAUCUAGUUCACCAAUAUAACACUGACUUUCAGCAACCCCCCUUUCAAUCUCUCCAAAAUCCUAUAUAUAUAAAAAAAAAUCCCAAUUCUCCAUCUUUUUCCGAAAGUAUGAAGCUAGCUCCGACCUAAAAUCCCGAUUCUCAAAA
rnacentral:lncRNA from 1 species